GCAUCAGCCACGGCGCGGUGAAUACGUUCCCGGGCCUUGUACACACCGCCCGUCAAGCCAUGGAAGCCGGGAGUGCCUGAAGUGCGUGAGCGCAAGCAGCGCCCUAAGGUAAAAACCGGUGACUGGGGCUAAGUCGUAACAAGGUAUC
rnacentral:rRNA from 1 species